UUCAAUAUAGCUUAAGAAAAGCAACGAUUUUGUAAAUCGUAGAUAUUAAAUAAUUUUUGAAC
rnacentral:tRNA from 1 species